GACAGAGGCCUCGAGCGUUAGGCGGAAUCACUGGGCUUAAAGCGUGUGUAGGCGGAUCGUUAAGUACCUUGUGAAAUCCCACGGCUCAACCGUGGAACGGCUGGGUAUACUGGCGGUCUUGGGCCAUUCAGGGGCGACUGGAACAAGCGGUGGAGCGGUGAAAUGCGUAGAUAUCGCUUGGAACGCCAAUGGUGAAAACAGCUCGCUGGGGGUUUGCUGACGCUGAGACACGAAAGCCAGGGGAGCAAACGGG
rnacentral:rRNA from 1 species